rnacentral:rRNA from 1 species
UACGGGGGGGGGCAAGCGUUGUUCGGAAUUACUGGGCGUAAAGCGCGCGUAGGCGGCUUUGUAAGUUAGAGGUGAAAGCCCGGAGCUCAACUCCGGAACUGCCUUUAAAACUGCAUCGCUUGAAUCCAGGAGAGGUGAGUGGAAUUCCGAGUGUAGAGGUGAAAUUCGUAGAUAUUCGGAAGAACACCAGUGGCGAAGGCGGCUCACUGGACUGGUAUUGACGCUGAGGCGCGAAAGCUAGGGGAGCAAACAGGG